ACUCUGGUAUUGAUUGGUGCUUGCAUCAUGAUUUACAUUUGAGUGAGUGGCGAACUGGUGAGUAACACGUGGGAAACCUGCCCAGAAGCGGGGGAUAACACCUGGAAACAGAUGCUAAUACCGCAUAACAACUUGGACCGCAUGGUCCGAGCUUGAAAGAUGGCUUCGGCUAUCACUUUUGGAUGGUCCCGCGGCGUAUUAGCUAGAUGGUGGGGUAACGGCUCACCAUGGCAAUGAUACGUAGCCGACCUGAGAGGGUAAUCGGCCACAUUGGGACUGAGACACGGCCCAAACUCCUACGGGAGGCAGCAGUAGGGAAUCUUCCACAAUGGACGAAAGUCUGAUGGAGCAACGCCGCGUGAGUGAAGAAGGGUUUCGGCUCGUAAAACUCUGUUGUUAAAGAAGAACAUAUCUGAGAGUAACUGUUCAGGUAUUGACGGUAUUUAACCAGAAAGCCACGGCUAACUACGUGCCAGCAGCCGCGGUAAUACGUAGGUGGCAAGCGUUGUCCGGAUUUAUUGGGCGUAAAGCGAGCGCAGGCGGUUUCUUAAGUCUGAUGUGAAAGCCUUCGGCUUAACCGAAGAAGUGCAUCGGAAACUAGGAGACUUGAGUGCAGAAGAGGACAGUGGAACUCCAGGUGUAGCGGUGAAAUGCGUAGAUAUAUGGAAGAACACCAGUGGCGAAGGCGGCUGUCUGGUCUGUAACUGACGCUGAGGCUCGAAAGUAUGGGUAGCAAACAGGAUUAGAUACCCUGGUAGUCCAUACCGUAAACGAUGAAUGCUAAGUGUUGGGAGGGUUUCCGCCCUUCAGUGCUGCAGCUAACGCAUUAAGCAUUCCGCCUGGGGAGUACGACCGCAAGGUUGAAACUCAAAGGAAUUGACGGGGGCCCGCACAAGCGGUGGAGCAUGUGGUUUAAUUCGAAGCUACGCGAAGAACCUUACCAGGUCUUGACAUACUACGCUAACCUGAGAGAUCAGGCGUUCCC
rnacentral:rRNA from 2 species